CUGGGUGGAUCAGUGGCGAACGGGUGAGUAACACGUGAGCAACCUGCCCCAGACUUCGGGAUAAGCCUUGGAAACGAGGUCUAAUACUGGAUAUGAGGUCACAUCGCAUGGUGUGGUCUGGAAAGAUUUAUCGGUCUGGGAUGGGCUCGCGGCCUAUCAGCUUGUUGGUGGGGUAGUGGCCUACCAAGGCGACGACGGGUAGCCGGCCUGAGAGGGCGACCGGCCACACUGGGACUGAGACACGGCCCAGACUCCUACGGGAGGCAGCAGUGGGGAAUAUUGCACAAUGGGCGCAAGCCUGAUGCAGCGACGCCGCGUGAGGGAUGAAGGCCUUCGGGUUGUAAACCUCUUUCAGCAGGGAAGAAGCGCAAGUGACGGUACCUGCAGAAGAAGCGCCGGCUAACUACGUGCCAGCAGCCGCGGUAAUACGUAGGGCGCAAGCGUUGUCCGGAAUUAUUGGGCGUAAAGAGCUCGUAGGCGGUCUGUCGCGUCUGGUGUGAAAACUCAAGGCUCAACCUUGAGCUUGCAUCGGGUACGGGCAGACUAGAGUGCGGUAGGGGAGACUGGAAUUCCUGGUGUAGCGGUGGAAUGCGCAGAUAUCAGGAGGAACACCGAUGGCGAAGGCAGGUCUCUGGGCCGCAACUGACGCUGAGGAGCGAAAGCAUGGGGAGCGAACAGGAUUAGAUACCCUGGUAGUCCAUGCCGUAAACGUUGGGCACUAGGUGUGGGGCUCAUUCCACGAGUUCCGUGCCGCAGCAAACGCAUUAAGUGCCCCGCCUGGGGAGUACGGCCGCAAGGCUAAAACUCAAAGGAAUUGACGGGGGCCCGCACAAGCGGCGGAGCAUGCGGAUUAAUUCGAUGCAACGCGAAGAACCUUACCAAGGCUUGACAUACACCGGAAACUUCCAGAGAUGGUUGCCCCGCAAGGUCGGUGUACAGGUGGUGCAUGGUUGUCGUCAGCUCGUGUCGUGAGAUGUUGGGUUAAGUCCCGCAACGAGCGCAACCCUCGUCCUAUGUUGCCAGCACGUGAUGGUGGGGACUCAUAGGAGACUGCCGGGGUCAACUCGGAGGAAGGUGGGGAUGACGUCAAAUCAUCAUGCCCCUUAUGUCUUGGGCUUCACGCAUGCUACAAUGGCCGGUACAAAGGGCUGCGAUACCGUAAGGUGGAGCGAAUCCCAAAAAGCCGGUCUCAGUUCGGAUUGGGGUCUGCAACUCGACCCCAUGAAGUCGGAGUCGCUAGUAAUCGCAGAUCAGCAACGCUGCGGUGAAUACGUUCCCGGGCCUUGUACACACCGCCCGUCAAGUCACGAAAGUCGGUAACA
rnacentral:rRNA from 1 species